rnacentral:rRNA from 1 species
CGCGCAGCAGGCGCGAAAACUGCACAAUGUGGGAAACCACGAUGCGGGAAGCCCAAGUGCCAGCACUAUGUGUUGGCUGUCCUCCAGUGUUUACAACUGGGGAAGAAAGAGCUGGGUAAGACGGGUGCCAGCCGCCGCGGUAAUACCCGCAGCUCAAGUGGUGGUCAUUAUUAUUGGGCCUAAAGCGUCCGUAGCAGGCUUGUUAGAUGCCUGGGUAAAUCGAUGCGCUUAACGCAUCGAAUUCCGGGUAGACCGGCAAGCUCGAGACCGGGAGAGGCGUGAGCUACUCAAGGGGUAGGGGUAAAAUCCUGUAAUCCUUUGGGGAGGACCAGUGGCGAAGGCGUCACGCUAGAACGGCUCUGACUGUGAGGGACGAAGCCCUGGGGCGCAAACCGGAUUAGAUACCCGGGUAGUCCAGGGUGUAAACGCUGCAGACUUGGUGUCGCUGAUCCUACGAGGGUUGGCGGUGCCGGAGAGAAGUUGUUGAGUCUGCCGCCUGGGGAGUACGGUCGCAAGACUGAAACUUAAAGGA